CCUACGGGUGGCUGCAGUGGGGAAUAUUGGGCAAUGGAGGACACUCUGACCCAGCACCGCCGCGUGAAUGAUGAAGGUCUUCGGAUUGUAAAGUUCUUUUCUAAGGGAAGAAGAAAGUGACGGUACCUUAGGAAUAAGCCUCGGCUAACUACGUGCCAGCAGCCGCGGUAAUACGUAGGAGGCGAGCGUUAUCCGGAAUGACUGGGCGUAAAGGGUGCGUAGGUGGUUUGGCAAGUUAGUAGCGUAACUCCAAGGCUCAACCUUGGAACUACUACUAAAACUGUUGGACUUGAGUGCAGGCAUGGCAACCGGAAUUCCUAGUGUAGCGGUGGACUGCGUAGAUAUUAGGGGGAACACCAGUGGCGAAGGCGGCUUACUGGACUGUAACUGACGUUGAGGCUCGAAAGCGUGGGGAGCAAACAGGAUUAGAUACCCGGGUAGUC
rnacentral:rRNA from 1 species